CCCUUAGAUGUCCUGGGCCGCACGCGCGCUACAAUGAUACACGCAACGAGUCCACCUUGUCCGAAAGGUCCGGGUAAUCUUGGAAAUGUGUAUCGUACUAGGGAUAGAUUUUUGCAAUUCUGAAUCUUGAACGAGGAAUUCCUAGUAAAUGCGAGUCAUCAGCUCGCGUUGAUUACGUCCCUGCCCUUUGUACACACCGCCCGUCGCUCCUACCGAUUGAGUGGUCCGGUGAGGCUUUGGGAUCUGAGCGGAAAGAGCGUUUCGCUGUUUCUGCUCGGAAAACUCAGUCGAACCUUAUCAUUUAGAGGAAGGAGAAGUCGUAACA
rnacentral:rRNA from 1 species